CUUGCCUUGUCGGGUCUUCUUUAAGGUUUUGAAACCCUACAACAAACAAACAAAAGAUGAAAAAGGUUUCAUCUUUUUCUAUUUGUCUCUCAUUGUUUAGAGAGCGGUCGCCAUGCUGAAGGUAAGGGUUUGAGGUGAGAAGGCAACUCAGGCUGCCCUGGAUAAGUAUUAAUGCCAUUCUUUUGCAGAUUUUUGGAAGCCACUACUAAGCCCUAUGAAGCUGCAAAAUUUUAUGUUAUCUUUGCUGAAGAAAAACCAUAGGGAAGAGCGAGGCAAGUAUGAUCGAUGCUCUGUCCUCCUUCUCUCAUGCCUGUGAGCUAUACUCGUUGAUUAUGUUAUUGUUGCACAUUAUUCAUGCCUUUAGCAAAGGGCAAUGGACUAUUCUAAUACACUCAUGGUUGUUUCCUUGAUCUUGGGUUAUCUUCUCACAAGUAUAUUACUUUUUUGGCAUAGAUAACUUUGUAAAUUCAUUGUCUUUUCACAAGUCAAUAUCAUCUCUCAAGGUCUCUAUUA